AUACUUACCUGACAGUGGGGAUACUGUGAUCAAGAAAGUGGUUGGUUGUCCUAAGGUGAGGUUCAUCCAUUGCACGCUGAAUGUGCUGACCCCCUAUGAUUUCCCCAAGUGUGGGAAACUCGACUGCAUAAUUCGUGAUAGUGGGUAAUUUGUUAAAAAAAUCUUU
ensembl:snRNA U1 U1 spliceosomal RNA